UACGUAGGUGACCAGCGUUGUCCGGAUUUACUGGGCGUAAAGAGCGCGCAGGCGGUCGUGCAAGUCGCGUGUGAAAGCCCUCGGCUCAACUGGGGAGGGUCACGCGAUACUGCACGACUCGAAGGCAGGAGAGGGAAGUGGAAUUCCCGGUGUAGUGGUGAAAUGCGUAGAUAUCGGGAGGAACACCAGUGGCGAAGGCGACUUCCUGGCCUGUUCUUGACGCUGAGGCGCGAAAGCUAGGGUAGCAAACGGG
rnacentral:rRNA from 1 species